GCAUCAGUAGUUUAGUGGUAAAACCCAUCAUUGAUACUACUUGGUCGUCGAUGAACCCGUGUUCGAUUCACGGCUGAUGCA